rnacentral:rRNA from 1 species
GCUGGCGGCGUGCCUAACACAUGCAAGUCGAACGGGAAUCCCUGGACUCGUCUGGGGAGGAGAGUGGCGCACGGGUGAGUAACACGUAGCUAACCUGCCCUGGAGAGGAGGAUAACCAUUGGAAACGAUGGCUAAUACUCCAUACGUUUGUGGGGAUUAGAAAACCACAAAGAAACGCUCCGGUGCUCUGGGAUGGGGCUGCGGUCCAUCAGCUAGUUGGUAAGGUAAAGGCUUACCAAGGCGAAGACGGAUAGGGGGCCUGAGAGGGUGACCCCCCACACUGGUACUGAGACACGGACCAGACUCCUACGGGAGGCAGCAGUGAGGAAUAUUGCGCAAUGGGCGAAAGCCAGACGCAGCAACGCCGCGUGAACGAUGAAGGCCUUCGGGUUGUAAAGUUCUUUUCUGUGUGAAGAAACGGACGGUAGCACAGGAAUAAGUGUCGGCUAACUACGUGCCAGCAGCCGCGGUAAAACGUAGGACGCGAGCGUUAUCCGGAUUUACUGGGCGUAAAGCGCGUGCAGGCGGUUUGAUAAGUCGUGCGUGAAAGCUCCCUGGCUCAACCGG